GGUAAUAUCAGGUUGGUGCAAAUGUAAUUGCGGUUUUUGCUAUUAAAAGUAAUUGCAAAAACCACAGUUCCAUUUGCACCAACCUAAUA
ensembl:miRNA